UCUUUCUUCCACACUCCCCUCCUAUCUGCAGAAAGGAUCAUGGAUUCUUUACUUCUUUCCUUCGUCCUCUUGGUCAUCCCACCAUGUGUCCAUUCCCAGGUGACGUUGGGCCAGACCAGCUCAGUGCAGCUGCAGCCAUCAGAAACCCUCAGGCUGACCUGCUCUGUGUCUGGAUUCUCCCUUACUGCAAGUGGGUAUGCAGUGGGCUGGAUUCGUCAAGCUCCGGGAAAAGGCCUGGAGUGGUUAUGUCAUGUCUAUUGGGAUAAUGACAUGAGAUACUUGGAGUCCCUGAAAAACCGGCUCACCAUCUCCAGAGACACUUCCAAGAGGGAGGUUUACUUAGAGAUGAGAGGCAUGGAGACAAAAGACACUGGAACAUACUACUGCGCUAGAAUACACACAGUAUGCAAAAGCAGUUGA